rnacentral:lncRNA from 1 species
CUGCCGAACCCCAACCUGCCCAAACCAGUACUGUCAAUUUGAAGGUGAUGAGGAAGACCGUGAAACCAUUAGCAUUGUCGGUAAACGUAACUCACCAACCUAGCGGAAAACGUAUAGAUAACGAUGCGUUCGUCACGUUUCUAGAGCACCAACCUAGACAGGAUGUUGGACUCCGGGACUUGCUCACAGACGGCGUUGACAAAGUGGAGGCACCAUCUAGAUUAUCCCGGAGUGGUGAAAGUCCCAGGUUAGG